UCGUCAGUGCGGUACAUCCUGACCUGCCCCGCCCCGUGGCGGGCAGCACGUGAUGAGCGGAGCGUGAUGACGUGUGAUUA